rnacentral:lncRNA from 1 species
CGUGGGAAGAUGGAUAAAAUGAUAGGUCAUCAUUUUCAUCUACUAAUUAGCUCAGAUGUCUAAAAAGUAAUAUUUUUAGGUGAUAAUGACAUCCAAUGUAUAUGUUAUAAAUCAACUUGAGAGGUACAAAAGAUCUGUUGUGCCAGAGUAGGUGUUCUCGAGGGCAGGGAGCAAUAAGUGUGAUAUCAUUUGUGCACAGACGUCAUCAGUCACUGGUGUCAUACACAUAAAUGACACAAACAAACACAUCAGUGACAGCAAAGUAUUUGUCACAGGUGUAUCCCCAUCCUCUGUAACACUCAUGCCUGUUGCAGGCCAGAGUUCAAGAUUUUCUGUGCCAAGCUGCUGACACAAGUUCCUCUUCUCCAUCUGUGGGCGGCAAGUUGUUACCCUGGAGACGCACCCGCCGGCUGGCAAGUGGAAUAUUUAACCAGACCCCUCCGGUCUCCGCCGGCCGUCGUCAGGGAAGUCGCGAAGGACGAGAAAAUCACUAAGCACCAACUUGUCCCAGCAUACACCGAGCGUGGUGUACCUGACUACACAGACGGUCCACCGAUAAAACAGUUGUAUCACCGAGGUCAGGGUCACUCAGGUAACUGGCCAGAUGACUGUGUCACGUGCGGCCGUGAGGUGGCCAGCUUCCUACACAGUCUCCGUGUUGGCUUUCCUGUUGAUACGCCAACAUCUGCGACAGUCUCCGCCACCAGUGACAGUACAAGACCAGCCCCUCUGCAGUGGAAAGACGUGUUAGUGUUGCACUGGUAUGGCGCUAGUGAAAACUCGGGUGUGGUGACUGCGUUUAGUGAAGCGGGUAUCCCAGUGUGGGUGAUGGAAGAUGAUGACAUCGAGGACGUGGCUACAGCCCGCAGUGACGUGGUGUGGGUGGCUGAUGGAGGUCGUGUUCGUGGUCUGGAGAGAAAAGUCAUCGUCUGUCUGGAGUCUCGUGUUGAGGAUUUCUCUGACCGCCUUUAUUGCAUGUCCCGGUGUACGUCACAACUUGUGAUUGUCUCUCCUGACAACUCGCCGCCUGAACACGAAUAACACCAAAGGCAGUAUAUUACAAAGUCCACUCAAUUAUAAUAAUAAGUUGAAAUUUAUAAAGCGCAAUAUCUCACCCAAAGGCGAACUCAUUGCACUGAACAAAUCACAAAAUAGUAACAAUGAUGUAGAACAAGAUCAUAAAAUAGUAACAAAGAUGUACAAGGAAGAACAACGUGAGGACUCGCUGCGUUCCGGCAGUAAAGGGAGAUAACUGUAGAUGUAACUGUAACGACUCCAGAAAAUAAAGUCAGUGACAUCAGGAGAAUACUGGGAAGAUAUUGAGUAAUCGUGAGAAUAUGAAGAAAUGUUAUCAUAUGAAACUUCAGUUUAUAUUAAAUGCAGCUCAAGAUCGCUGCCUAAGAGAAUGAAACAUUUCAGAUUAAACAUACAUUCCGGCAAGUGGUUGUCCCAUAGUUCGGGCAUGUUCAAGGUUGCACAUUCGCUAGUAAUAGCUUUCAUAGCUCACACGGUUCCAUGCAAGAUUGCAUGUUAUCACCUAAAUAUUAAUGCUGUUUGGGUAUGUAUAUUUGUUGUUUGAUGUAGUUUGAUCCUUUAUGCCCAUGUAACUAUUUUCCUAGGUUUUUGUUGGGAUUUUUUUGUUUGUUGGUUUUUUUGUUUGUUUGUUGUUUGUUUUUGUUUUGUUUUUUUUUUGGGGGGUGGCGUACCUUCGCCUAGCAGGUUUGAGGGUGGCGGCUCUCAGCAAUUUUUGUAUGUUCUAUUAGUUCAUUUGAGUUUUGGUGCAUAUUGUGUAGGCCGGUGCUUUUAAUCGUUAGUUUUAGUUGACUGCCGGAUUUUUCUGCCUAACGGUUUUUUUUCUGAAGAUCACACAGUCAGUCCUUUGCUUUAAAAAAUUUCAUGCAGAUUUCCUCUGCUUUGUGAUUGCAUCGCUACCAGCAGUCUUCUGACGAUGUCAGAAAAUGUUGACCCGAGUCUUUGUUGAUUUAUUCUGCGUUGCUACUGAAGACACAAUUUUUUUUUUACCUGUAGAUAAUAACUCAGGGCCAUUGAGAGCUAGCACAGGCACCGGGGCAGACGACUUGCUAAAACUAGUAGCUGGCAAAUUUCAUAGAUUCAAGACUGACAAGAAGAGGCUAAGGACACACAAAAGUUAUAUCAGAAAAAUUAAUAACAAAGCAUUGUGCUUGUUCUUUAUCUCAUCUCUCUGAUCCUACACCAGCAAGUCAGCUUAACGACAUCACCUCCCCCACUGGCAGAAAACAAGGUGAAGGUCACUCUAAACAUCAGUGUCAUCGUCGUCAUCAGAAGUGGUCAUCGUGCAGUUGACAGUGUGAACUGUGUCUAUCAGCUAUAUACAGGAAUAGACAAAGGUCACAGAGAUACAACCACAGUGCAUCUAGCUCAGCAGUCGCCAACAGGACCGCAGGUGGCUGUUAAUAGGAUUGAUGUAGAAAACUUACAUCGCGAGUUGUCUUAUGUACAGAAAGAUAUAUUAAUGAAGCAGCUCAACAUAAAACUGUUCUUCCACACUCUGGUCUAAGGGACGAAACCUCACUCAUGACACUGUGUGUAGGAUGCUAAGAAUUACUUCCCUUGUGUAUUUAUAUUUUUUUAUCACAAGGAAAGUAGAUUAUUAUAUUCAGAUCUCUCUCUCUCACACACACACGAGUUAUAAUAAUAAUGAUAGAGUGAGUGAUUUAUAUUGCGCGUUCACACGCUCGUAAGGAGCACGCUCUUAGUACUUUAAACAAGCACUAGACAAGGAUGACUCAUAAAAGACAAUAUUGAAAACGCAAUGAGCAGUUAGGUAAUAAGAAGUGAGAGUAUAUAGCUGACUACCUAUUCCUGUUGUUUGUUACGUAGAAAAUGGAUUCAUAUCUUGUUGCAUUAAAGUUAUUCCAGGUAUUGCAUCG